rnacentral:lncRNA from 1 species
GGCAAACCUUGGUUACAGGAAGGUGAACAGUAGACGGAGACUUCCUUUCCCAACAAUAUUGGCAGAGUGAAUAUCCUGAAAAACUAUCCUGCUGCAAAGCUCCUAAGACUAAAAAGGACUGUCUAUUCCUCCAUAACCAAGCAUUCAGAAGACGCUGAUGUGGCACUGUCCCCACUGCGAUUCUGGGUCUACAUCUCUAAUGUGUCUUUGGGCCCAACGCUGCUCUCAACCCAAACCUGCCAUUGUCCACGGCUAGGAGUUCAUUCAGAUGAUACUAGAACAACUAGAAAGGAAGAAAAUUUGGACACAAAAAAUAGAAACAGAGACAAAGAAGAGAAACUACCAUGUGAAGACAGAGAUAGAAAUCGGAGUUAGCCCACAAGCCAACAAUGCCUGGGGCUACCAGAAGCUGGAAAAG